AUGAGAAAUCCUCUCGAAGAAGCUAAAACCCAGCAAAAUAUUGAUGAAGACCCUCUUGAAGAGCAUGCAAUCCAGCAAGCUCCUGUCAAAGGACACGAAGACGGUGAUAUUGAAAGCGUAGAAACACACAGCAUGUCUCCUCAUUCGUCAGAAAAGGACACGGAACAAAACAUGAAGAACAAACCACCUGCGGCAGAAAUGGUAACUUACACCAGGCUCAACAGGAUUAAACAUAUAGCAACAAGCAAAAAAAAGAGAAAAUCAGAUACCAGCACUGUUUUUACUCCUGGAGCAAAAUGGCAAAAGCAAAAGGACAAUGCUGAAAACAUCGUCGAUACUAGUACCUUGCAGCAUCAGCCAUUACCUCUAAUGGUACUCCCGCCAACAGCACCAACCGGCACGAAGAAACAAGGUGAACGCAAGAAGAAAAACAAACGACAAAGGGUAGAAAAAGAACAAGUCGAUACCAACAGAAAGGUUCAGAUACCAAUGAUGACGACGAUGAUAGACAACAUGAUACAGAUUUCAUUCCUACAGACGGCGAUGAUGCCAAAGAGCACGACAGCGACGCAGAACAUGACGACGAUCCCAACCAAGGCCAGAAGGACAGAAAGAGGAGAAAGACAAGCGGAAAAGAAUUGGCAGCACCAACAGUUGACGAAGAACAGCAAGAAACAAACGAAGAGAAAUGCCAAAUCAAGGCAGGGGCAGCGUUUGCUCAUGUCAAGAAAGCAUGGAAUUUACUUAAAGACCGUCACAAGCAAGAUAUUAGGACGACAGGAUUUGGCAGCAUAG
rnacentral:rRNA from 1 species